UUCUCUUUUACUUUCCUUUUUUCAUUCCUCUUUUUCUUUGAUUUACUUUCCUUUUCCAUUCCUCUUUUUCUUUGAUCUUGACAAUUGAUUUUCCAGAUUUGGGGAUACAUUCUAUGACUGCCACCAUCUUCUUCGAGCUUCAUCGGAGUUAUGAACACUAGCAAAAAUUUGAUGCUCUCUAUUGAAGCAACAAUUUAAC
rnacentral:lncRNA from 1 species